ACCUUCCUGGCUCAGCAGGUAGAGCACGUGACUCUUGAUCUUGGGGUUGUCAGUUCAAGUCCCACGUUGGGUA
rnacentral:tRNA from 1 species